ACUUCCCCAAAAGAAGCUAUGCUCGGGCCUUCCCAUCGUCCCACUCAAGAGCUUUCUUCAUAUUGGUCCCUUGGUUGAAUUCUGUGUUCUGAAGAGGCAAGAAUUGAGGUUGCUGCAGACCUGUAUGGAUUCGCCACCAGUAACAAGAUCUCAGAACACUGGAAAAAUCGAUGCACAAAAAAAAAAGGUU
ensembl:lncRNA LINC02768 long intergenic non-protein coding RNA 2768